CACUUGCCCCCUCGCGCUUCCCCUCGCCCUCUCCGCCUUCUCCUCUCCUCCAGAUCCGCGUCGGCAACCCGCGCGCGACGCGCCCGUCGUCGGCCACCUCGCACCGCCGUGGCAACCGUCGACCUCGUGCCACACCGACGUGCACAAGCACUCCACCUUCCUCGACUACGUCUCCGCGGACAAGCCGCAGGACGCAGGACGCCCCCGCGACGCCUUCCCCGCCACCGGCUUCCUCCUGGGCCCGGCGGACUCUGGCGAGCUCUCCCCCGAGCCCGCUUUGCUCACCUGCAGGUCACCGUGAGCUCCUCAAGGUAGGUGACGACCACGCCGCAGCGAGGUUCUCCAAAUCCCGGCGACCUAGGUCUUGACUCAGAAGAAUCUCACAAAGCACAGAGGCUGUCUAGAAAAGUUGCAUAAGAAAAAAAAAGGUACCUAUAAACAUUCUGGUUAUCGCCACCAUGCUAUUUGCUCAUUGACUACGAAAUAAUUAUAUAGUUUUGAAGUUUAUUUAGGUGUGAACUGUAACUCCUGAUUAUGGGCAAUUAUCAAUCAUGCUUAGUAUUGUUUCAUGGUUAAUUUAGCUGAUGAUAUAUACAACAUGGAAGUGUGAGGGGAUGUUACAUUACAUUAUCAUGUAGAUAUCAGAAACCAUUUUUGGUUCUUUCCUCCUGGGGGAGGGGAAGAGAAUACAUAGGAACAUGAUGGCUGUGGGCUUCUAUAUGCUGGCUUCUAUAUGAUGGCAGCUUCCAUGGUGUUAUAUAUGAUGUUAUAUGAUGGCAGCUUCUAUAUGAUGGCAGCUUCUGAUGUGAAAUGACCCCUUUCUCCUGAAAUGUUGAUUAAUUUCCGUUUCGGUUGAGAAUGGGGCACUCCUAGGUCAAGAAAAUUAGCAAAGGUCAUGCCCAAUUUUCUUGACCUAGAAGGUGCCCGAUUCUCAACCGAAACGGAAAUAUUCCUCUAAAUCUGAGAAGGAUAGAUACUACCUUGAUCUCAUCCAAUAACUCUAGUAGCAUUUUUUCCUAUUUAGAGCGAACAUGGCCGACAACGAUGAGGCCGGCGGUUCGGGCAAGCCAUUCUGGCAGCUGUCCCAG